GAGCAACUACUGGAAAUAUGAUCAAAUUCCUGCUGGUUGCCAGAGGAAUAAAUAGCGAGAAAUUGAGUAUUUCAAUAUAAUCCUUGUUUGGAAUGAGGCUACUGCCAGAUCUGGUGGAAUAACUAGGUGAUGUAUAAUAUUUCUGUUAAACAUUACCAUAACUGGGGAACCCAUUAGUAGACAUGGGACAAACGCUUAAGAGCAACUCCAAGGGGCUCUCUAAACAAGCUCCUAAGUCUAAAUUUUAGGAGCAAAUCAAAAUUUAGUGCUCCAAUGGGCUCCUAGAUGCUCUUUAAAAAUUUAGGAGCCUACUCUCUCUCCUUUCUUUUAAAGAGCAUCUAGUAGCUCUUAACUCAAUAUUAUAUUAAUUUCUCUUCAAUCUUAUCUCUCUUUUAGUUAACUUUUUCCUCUCAUUUAUAUAAAAUAAAUACAAAAUGUGAGUAAGGAGCCAAGUAUAAAGAGUAGCAUUGGAGUUUUCACGUUUUCUAGUGUAUUAACUUACUAGGAGCCACAUUUUAUAUUAUUGUUUAAGGAAUGAUUUAGGAGCACCGUUGGAGAUGCUCUAAGAAUAGCAAUGCUCUAAGAAUAGCAGCAGAUAAGCUGAAAUGUAAUACUACUAGGAAAGCAGUUUGAAAAUCAACACAGCUGGUAAGUGGUACCUGUAUUUAACAUACACCUAAAAGGAUAAUUCUAGAAAGAAGUUUAAAGGUCC
rnacentral:lncRNA from 1 species